rnacentral:rRNA from 1 species
AUUGAACGCUGGCGGCAGGCUUAACACAUGCAAGUCGAGCGAGCGGCGGACGGGUGAGUAAUGUCUGGGAAACUGCCUGAUGGAGGGGGAUAACUACUGGAAACGGUAGCUAAUACCGCAUACUAUCGGAUGAACCCAUAUGGGAUUAGCUAGUAGGUGAGGUAAUGGCUCACCUAGGCGACGAUCCCUAGCUGGUCUGAGAGGAUGACAAGCCACCAUGGAAUGGAGACACGGUCCAGACUACUACGGGAGGCAGCAGUGGGGAAUAUGGGACAAUGGGCGCAAGCCUGAGGCAGCCAUGCCGCGUGUGUGAAGAAGGCCUUCGGGUUGUAAAGCACUUUCAGCGAGGAGGCGUUACUCGCAGAAGAAGCACCGGCUAACUCCGUGCCAGCAGCCGCGGUAAUAC